AGUGAUCUUCGCCCUACCAAAAGCACUCAAGAUGUUACCUUAAGUUUAGCCAUAGUAAUUGAUGGAUGUUACUGAGGCACGAGUAGCAGUUCCAUAAUGAAGGAAAGGAUUAGACAAAGACUGGAGGCUGCUAAAUCCAAAAGGAAGUUUUUCUAUUCCAAAAUUCAUGAUUCCUCAGACUAGUUUUUGUUUUUCACUGUUUUCAACCUCAAUGUUCAACUUCUGAGACCAUUUCAAUGCACCUGUAAAUGUCUGGCUAGAAGCACAGGAAUCAGAGACUAAAUAACCAUAUGAAUAUUCCCUUUCUACAUGAUAAAAAAAAUAAAGAACUACUAACAGAACAGAACUACUAAUAAGAGAACCACUCUUUGCAGAUUGUGCCUUCCUAGCACAUGCACAGGGAGAUCUCCAAUGCAUCGUAGAUCGCUUCGCUGAAACAUCAAAAUUGUUUGGCCUCACAAUCAGCCUGGAGAAAACUGUGGUGUUGCACCAAUCAUCUUCAUCACUCCAUGCUAUAUCCCCUACCAUAUCGAUUAGUGGAAUCCAACUAAAGCAAGUUGGCAGUUUUACCUCUCUCGGCAGCAACAUCUCCAAUGAUGGAUCUCUUGACAAAGAGCUCAUGAAGAGGAUACAGAAAGCUUCUCAGUCACUAGGAAAGCUAUGUAACAAAGUCCUGAAAUCCCACAACAUAACCCUCUCAACAAAAAUAAAACUUUAUAAUGCCUUUGUGCUCACAUCUCUCCUCUGGGGCUGUGAGACCUGGACAUCAUACAAAUGGCAUAUCAAACAGUUAAAGGCCUUCCAUUUGUGGUCUCUGCACACCAUUAUGGGGAUCCGCUGACAGGAUAAAAUUACCAACCUGGAGGGUUUCCAAAAGUCAAAUGCCAUAAAUAUUGAGGCCACGCUGAUAAAAGCCCAACUACGCUGGGCUGGACACAUCAUUAAGAUGCCUGAAUAUUGACUUCCCAGAAGAAUUUUCUAUGGAGAAUUGGCACAAGGACACCGGAAUCAAGGCUGCUCCAGAAAGCAAUACAAGGACAGCAUCAAGAAGAGCAUACACUUUGGUGCAAUAAAACUGGAUGAUCUUGAGAAGACUGUGUUAAAUAGAUCAGCCUGGCAACACACAACACUCAGAGCUUUUCAAGCCUUUGAAGAGGACAGAAAUAAUCGAUUGUUAGCUGCAAGGGAAAAGUGUCAUACUACUGCUAUAGCUACCAAGACGCUCCCAAUGACUUUGUCUGCCCGAUCUGCUCACUCCAAAAUCCACAAAAAGAGAGACCAUGAAAAUGUCAUCGUCAAAUCAACACACACACACACACACGCUGAAAAAAAUAAAGUAUUUGUUCAAUCCAUCAGUGAACACAACAGCAAUAUUUUGAAAUAAGUGACAAGGG